AACAACAACCACGUACUAUAAUAUGACCAUUUUUACCUCUCUAUAUAUAAAGGUUAAUUAAUUACUUUAUCUGCAGAGAAGAUGAUGAGGAAUAGGAAGAAAAGAGAGACGAGUUUCUUUGAUCUUUGAUGAGGAAGUCUUCUAUUAAUUGCGAUUAUAAUCUUUUUCUGCCUUUCAUACCGUUGUUUUAUUAACCUCUAGAAGGUAGUUUCAUAAAUUUGAG
rnacentral:misc_RNA from 1 species